rnacentral:misc_RNA from 1 species
AAGUCGUAACAAGGUUUCCGUAGGUGAACCUGCGGAAGGAUCAUUAAAAAUUUAUAUCCGGGAAUUCGUUUCGUUUUCCCGUGAUUAUUUGUAUUCAAAUCCCACUCUUUAUAAAUAUAUUAAUUAUAUAAAACAAAAAUAAAAAAGAAAACUUUCAACAACGGAUCUCUUGGCUCUC